UACGGAGGGUGCAAGCGUUAAUCGGAAUUACUGGGCGUAAAGAGUGUGUAGGCGGUGUUCCCAGUCUGUUGUGAAAUCUCCCGGCUUAACUGGGAGGGUGCAGCGGAAACUAGAAUGCUAGAGGGUGGGAGAGGUAAGCGGAAUUCCUGGUGUAGCGGUGAAAUGCGUAGAUAUCAGGAGGAACACCUGUGGUGUAGACAGCUUACUGGACCACUUCUGACGCUGAGACACGAAAGCGUGGGUAGCAAACAGG
rnacentral:rRNA from 1 species